AGAAUCUUUCGCAAUGCCCGAAAGGGUGACGAAGCGACGCCGCGUGUGGGAAGAAGGCCUUCGGGUUGUAAACCACUGUCGGGAGUUAAGAAAUGCAAGGAUAUUAAUAGUGUCUUUGCUUGACUAAGGCUCCGGAGGAAGCCACGGCUAACUCUGUGCCAGCAGCCGCGGUAAUACAGAGGCGGCAAGCGUUGUUCGGAAUUAUUGGGCGUAAAGAGCACGUAGGCGGCUAUGUAAGUCGGUUGUGAAAGCCUUCCGCUCAACGGGAGAACAGCAUCCGAUACUACAUGGCUUGAGUGCGGGAGGGGAGAGUGGAACUUCUGGUGGAGCGGUGAAAUGCGUAGAUAUCAGAAGGAACGCCGGCGGCGAAAGCGGCUCUCUGGCCCAUAACUGACGCUGAGUGUGCGAAAGCUAGGGGAGCAAACGGGAUUAGAUACCCCGGUAGUCCUAGCCGUAAACGAUGGGCACUAAGUAGAGGGGUUUUGAUUAUCUCUCUGCCGGAGCUAACGCAUUAAGUGCCCCGCCUGGGGAGUACGGCCGCAAGGCUAAAACUCAAAAGAAUCGACGGGGGCUCGCACAAGCGGUGGAGCAUGUGGCUUAAUUCGAUGCAACGCGAAGAACCUUACCGGGGUUUGACAUGGUAGAAGUAGAAGCCUGAAAGGGUGACGAACGGUAUCCAGUCCGUAGCUAUCACAGGUGUUGCAUGGCUG
rnacentral:rRNA from 1 species